rnacentral:lncRNA from 1 species
CCUACCAUGCGCAAGCCCCGCGUGGGCUCUUCCACAGCGACGUGGUCCACAGAUCUCUGGCUAGAGGGGGCCACCAACCCCCCCUACAAGCACAGAAAUAGAGGCUUUGGAAAAAUGCAACAUUUGUGUAGGAAGAGCAGAAUCCAUAACCACAGGGUGGGGUCAUGAACACGUCACACAUCCCCCCCCCCACACCUGCGUGCCUGCCGUGUGAUGUCACAGCCCCCCUUAAAGGCGAGCCUCUUCCCCCACCUGCGUUUUGGAUGUGAGAGGGACACAGCAUCGCCUGCUCCCUGGGAGCAGAGCCUCCCAGCUGACCAGCACCUGACCGCAGGUGCCUGAGUGAGCCCAGCCCAAGUGCCAGCCUCCAAGGUCAGCCACAGAAAGGAUGGGUUUUCAAGUCCUCUAAACUUUGGAGUGGUUGUUACACAGCCAAAGCUAACUGGCACACGCAACCUUCUCACCCCAAAGCUCCCCCCUUGCAUGACACCGCGCUGCUUCCCGAUGGUGCCGCAUUGGGAAGCAGAGAAGGCAGUUCUCCUCACACCCACUGACAGCCCGUGCUUGAUCCUUUGUUUAAAAGUAGCUUUGCCGGAGCUCCCGUCGUGGCUCAGCAGUUAAGACCCUGACUACUAUCCAUGAGGAUGCAAGUUCGAUCCCUGGCCUCGCUCAGUGGGUUAAAGAUCCAGCAUUGCUGUUUAAGCUGUGGUGUAGAUUGCAGACAUGGUUUGGAUCCCGUGUUGCUGUGGCUGUAGUGUAGACCGGCAGCUGCAGCUCCAAUUCAACCCCCAGCCUGGGAACUUCCAUAUACUGUACAAAAAAGACAAAAACCAAAAAAACCCCGAAAAACCAGUAAGUGCUGGAGUGGAUGUGGGGAAACUGGAACCGUCAUGCACUGUUGGUGGGAGUGGGAAAUGGUGCUGCCGUGAAGGCAAGUAGCAUGGCGGAUCCUCAAAAAAUUAAAGGCAGAAUCACCACAAGAUCCAGCAAUUCUACGUCGGCUAUAAACCCAAAAGAACCAAAAGCAAGGGCUUCAAGAGACACGGGCACCCGUGUUCAUGGCAGCAACACUCGCAAUAGCUGAAACACGGACGAAACCCGAGGGCGCAUCAGGAUGAAUGGAUAAGAAAAUGUGGUUUCGUUGUACAAGGAAACAUUAUCAGCUUUAAAGGGAAGGAAAUCCCUCCUACGCUGCAUCAGAAUAAACUCGAGGACACGCUGCUCAGUGAAAUAAGCCAGGCACCAAAAGACAAAUGUGAUUCCGUUACAUGAGGUCCCUAGAGGAGCCAAACUCACAGAGACAGAAGCCGGAUGGGGGGCCAGGGCCUGGGGGAGGGAGGGGUGCUCUGUGGGGACAGUGGCAGUUUGGGAGGAAGAGAGUUCCAGAGAUGGACGGCCAUCCAUCACCAGCGUCCAGAGAGAGGCUGCGUCGUGGCUGGGGGAGGCUUGGGGAGGGACAGAGCGUGGGGCUGGACGGACACCCCAGUCAGGGCUGGUGACCAGGACUGGAGGGCGGGGUUGCCCAGCAGGGGCAGGGUAAAGAGAGCCCCCACCCCCCACCCCAGGACCCUGCAGAGCAGUGCCACUCACCGGGGCAGGGGGUGGGGGUCUGGACUCCCCGGAGGGUAUUGAUGGAAGGCAGAUCCCGAGGGGGGGGUCUGGGGCAGGGUCUCUGAGCAGACUGGGGGUAGCAGAGGCUUGGGGAGUUAAGCAGGGGUCAGAGGCACUGCCCCCAGGAUGCCCUGCCCGGCUUUCACCUCUGUCCCCAGAGGGCAUGCAAGAGCUGAGCAAAGACAUCUGAUCCCUGGAUUUGCUCCUCCACUAGCGGGGUCACCAGAAUGAGCCUCCCUCGGGGGCACAGAAAUACUGGACCUCCGUUGCAAGUUUUAUCUCCCCUUUGAUAAUUUCUAUUUGAGCAGGGUUUUAUCAUGCACAUAAAAUCCUGAUUAGGAGUUAGAGUCCAUCUCCAUAGUGGGUGCCCCGCACUUUUCCAGUGAUCAUGUAGAGUCUGGGGCCACCGUGCAGAGAAGGCCUGGCCAGGCCAGCGGCCCCAAGGCCAAGAGGAAGCUCAGCCACGUAGGGGUGGGGGGCGAGGCCAAAUCCAGGGGGAGAAAGUUGGGGUGCAGCGGGGGCAGCACUGGCCCUCGUUCUCGGGGCUGGGGCGCAGAGCAGCGCCAUGCAGACACGAGGUCCCUUUACAGCAGGGAAAACCCACAGGCAGUGAUUAUUUUAUUAAGGACCAGGGAACGAGGGCUAAUUUAAUUUGCAGAGAAUUACAGCACUGAUUGGAGCUCCACGGCCUCAGGCCUGACAUCACCUUCUCUCCAAUUUCUUUUGACAUUUCGGGCUGAGCCCCCCCUGAAGCCUCAGGAAGACUUCAGCUCUGCCUCCAGGGUGGCAUUCCCGAUGCGCCCCCUGGGGGAGGUGCUGAGACGAGAGGAGGGGGAUGGAGAAGGCCAAGGGGGAGAGAAACAAGGUCGGUCCUUACUUGAAAUGUGGUGUCUUUUCUCAAGCGUGGUGCCAUGAAACAUUUAAACGACUUGCUUUCCACGUGUGCUGGUACACUGAGUGCGCCAUCUAAGGCAGGUUGGCAGAGAAAGCGCAGCCGCACAGUCACAAUGAUGUGUCACCUGGACCGGGAUGGGGAUGUGCCGGAUGGGGGAAGCAGGAUGGGGGUGGAGGAUGCAGGACACAGGAAGGGAGUACAGGAUGGGGGUGGACGAUGGGGGUGCAGGAUGGGGGUGGAGGAUGGGGAUGGAGGAUGGGGGGGAAGCAGGAUGGGGUGCAGGAUGGGGGUGCAGGAUGGGGGUGGAGGAUGGGGAUGGAGGAUGGGGGUGCAGGAUGCAGGACACAGGAAGGGAGUACAGGAUGGGGGUGGAAGAUGGGAGUUGAGGAUGGGGUGGAGAAUGGGGGUGCAGGAUGAGGGUGGAGGAUGGGGAUGCAGGAUGGGGGAUGUGACGGUUACCCCCAGAUCCAAACACCCAGCCAAGUCAUCUUACUUUUCCCACCAAAUUCCCGCUCACAAGAAACGAAUCUUGCCAAAUCUCAAUUACACAGAUUUUUGCGUAUAAUUCCAACAAGCCUGGGGUUGUUCUCACGGACACGGAAAUUCAGCUAGCCGCUGAGCUAACCCGAUUGCAGUGAAGGGCUGUGGAUGUGGGGGCACGCGGUGCUUGUUCGAGCCAAGAGGGAGAAGUGCUUUUGACACUGCGUGUAAUUUAAUAUCAAUCAGACCCUUGACGCGAGUCUGAGCUUAAAACUGCUCCUUCAGGCUGUUUUUCCACCACCAUGGGGCAGCUCUGGAGGGUGGGGCUGGACCCCAGCUGUCCAGGCUCAGAUCUGUGCAGGGGGGCCUUAUGGCCACACCGGCCACAGGCUGGGGGCUGCUGGUCAGUGCCCAGGUGGGUCCCGGGGAGCAGAAUUCAGGCAUUUGGGGCCCUGGGACCCCUGGGCUGAGCCUCACUCUGCCUGUUGAUGGGGGAGGGACAGGCUUUUCCUUCCACCUUCCUGACGCGUGAGGGAACCCCCACUGCCAAGCCUCAGUCUCCCACUUUGUAAAGUGUGGGUGAAAAGUGGGUAUGUACUUGUUUCCAGUGCCCAGCAAAGUGCCUGGCACAGAGCAGACCCAUGGGAGGUGUUUGUUAAAUGAAUGCAUGACAGCUGGAUGGAUUGGGGAAGAGGCUCCCUUACAAAUGAGCCGAUUUAGCCGGCCCAAAGAGAGGGGCUCUAGGUCACUGGCGUGAGGGGGUCCUAGAAAAAGCCCUUGGGCCAAAUGAUCAGCCUCCGCCUGUGUUUCCUACCAAGUAGGGCCGUGAAGCCAAAACUGGAGAAUGGAUGAGAGCGCUUCACACACUGGGAGGCUCCAGGUGGGGGUCCCUGCGGCCACAGAGCAAAGCCUUUCUGCGGAGCUGCCCAAUCCCCCAUGGACCCUAAGGCAUGCACUUGAUCCCCUGAUGGACCCAGGAACCCUCUCGCAACACCUAGCAACAGGUAGACAAGGAGCCCAGGACGCCCAGGAGGAAGGGCCGUUUCUGGUCUGCGGGCCUCUGUCUCCCCAUGCAGGGUUAGGCCCAGGCAGCUGCUAGGGGCGUGCUUGCCCAGCGAGGGUGCAGGUGGGCAGGACGUGUUCUUGCCCACGUGGCUGAAGGUGGAUGUGGAAAUCCGACUGGGUCAGGCAGAGGGGGAACCUCAACGGGUUCGUUUGUGCAGGUGUCAGCUUCCUGGGGAAGCUCCCUGCUCCUUGGAGGCAAGGGCCCAGGAGGUAAGAGGCUGGGGAGGAACAGGGGUGCCCGCUCCAGAGGGCGGGGCCCUGCUCCAUUGCCUGUAUGAGUCUCCGGGUGUCCGGACGCCUGCAAGGCUGUGACUGCCUUCCCCUUGGUCUAUUUCACAUAUUUUACACAGACCAAAUACAGAGAAAAUAGAGACCAAAGGGGCUUUGCCAAGUCAGCCUCAAACAGAAAUUGCAUGUGUGUUGGACCUAUCCUGACACCCACACCCAACAGUGGCUGAGCCUCGUGCAACACGAGGUCCUGAGAGCCAGGGGUGCUGUGGGGAGGCCCUGGGAAGCCCGCUGGGAUAGCCUCCAGGCUCCCCGUGAACCCACCUCAGUCCCAUAGGCUCGUCCCGGGGGAGCAAUGCCUCGGUCAGGGAGCCUCUGGGGCAGCCCUGGGCUGGGACUCAAGGCUGACGGUGUGACAGCUGUGUCCUGGUGCCAGCCUGCAGGAGGGACCCCACGAAGGAGGGCCAGGCCUGGGGGGCACUGCUGCUGGAGGAGCCUCAUGUCCCCGGAGCUGUGGGGGAGCUCAAGCCCCCCGACCUUGAGAAGAGGCACCCCCUUGAGCGCCUGUCCCCUUGCAGAGUGGGCGGUGGGGUGGGGUGGGAGCUACACCAAGCUUCUGGCCUUGUGAGGGCCCACUGGGACUGCACGCCCCCCUCCUUCAUGAGCUCCAGAGACAUGGGACAGCAGCUAUGGAGACAGGUCCUCGGCAUGGAGACCCCAAGAUGCCACUGCCCCAGCUCCCAUGGGGCCAGCCCAGGAGUCCACUUGCUGGCAGCAGGCACUGGCACCCCAUCAGGCUGCCCCCAAACUCCCCGCGCACCUGGGUGGGGGGCCCCCAGGGCUGCUGGUCACACCUUGAUAAGGUGGAGGAGCACUGGGCACGGCACCUGGCACCCACGGCAGCAAGGCCACCCUCAACACCCCUCCUGCCAGCUCCCAUGCUGAGGACACCGGGCACUGACCCAGAUGGAAGGCACGGGCCUCCCAUCCAGCUGCUCCACCAAGGCUCCCAGCACUGCUCCCCACUCCAUCCCCACCAACCGGGGACAGAGGCCACCCACUGAGUACAUCUCCCAGGGGGACAGCCACUGGCUAGCGUCCUUGAUGUGGCAGCUGGCAUCACACAAACCCCAAGGCUCUUGAGCCCAACCAGGCCAUGUCCCUGGGCACUCCAGCCCUGCCCUGUCCCCUCCACCAUCCCAGAGGGUGACAGAAAAGGGGCCGGCCCUGGGGAGGCUGGUCCAGAGGUAGGACACAUGAGGCCAUGCCAGCAAGUCAGAUGCCUCAGGACAGGGUGGGACAGCUUCCCCCAGGAACUCAGAGUACAGAGAGGUGACCGCCUUGUCCUGGGGGCCAGGUGGCCUCUGCCGUGGGUCACGGUGAGCUUGGGAAGGCUCACGCCUGGCACCCGUGCAGGUUGAUGACACCGCUCAAGGUGAGACUUCAGAGGGCGUCCACGUCCGGGACAGGGCUCAGGAAGAGCUCGCUGUCUCGCCUGUGGAGCGACAUCGAGAAGCUUCCAGGGCUUUGCCUUAGUGCCUCCCAGACUUGUUGCCAGCCCUCCGUAUACCCCUAACGAGUCCCCCACUCCGACCCUGCCGUCCACAGGCCGGAGCCCAGGUCCUCCCACCGGCAGGAGGUUGCGUCCCUCUCCGGGCCUCUGCACACAACUUGCCCAUCCUUUGGGGCUUUGGGUCAGCAUCACCUCCACCAGGAAGCCUCCCAGGCAGGGUCCGCUCCCUGGUGCCAGGGCUCCUCUUGGGCCAGGACCGUGUCUGGGCCAUCUGGGUCCUCAGCGCUGCCCAGCUCGGGCCCUGGAGGAAGGACACUCAGGUGGUGUUUGAUGAAUAAAUAAAUGAAAAUGGAAGCAUCCCACCUCAGUCUCGCUGAUCAAAAGAUUUUUCCAACUAUUUUUUUUGCUUCUUAGGGCCACACACACGACAUAUGGAGGUUUCCAGGCUAGGGGUCGAAUCGGACCUACAGCUGCCAGCCUACACCACAGCCACAGCAACGCGGGACCCGAGCUGCAUCUGGGACCUACACCACAUGCAACACCGGAUCCUUAACCCAAUGAGUGAGGCCAGGGCUCGAAUCUGCAUCCUCAUGGAUACUAGUCAGAUUCAUUUCCUCUGAGCCACCACGGGAACUCCAGAUUUUACCAACUUUGAAGCAGCAGGACUCUUGUCCCAAAUAAAGUCUUACCCAGAAGUCCAGGUGUCAGAGAUGAAACAGAGGAAAGUGAGCUGCUUGGGACAAAAGGGACACGAGGUGGGAGCAGAAUUCAGCCUGGCUGCCCCUCUUCCUCCUUAGCUCAGGGACCCCCGACAGGGCUCAGGGAGCACAGCCAGGGAACUACCAGGGUAAUGGGUAAGGCUGAAUCUGCAUGCUGCCCCCCUCCGUCAACAACAGUCAAGUGCCUUGUCCUCAGCUGCCAUCCUCAGCCCCCACUCUCCAGCCUCAAACCCCCCUGCAAGCCCUGUGCCCGCCGUCCCACAUGCCCUGCCCCCAGCAAUGCUUUCGUGGGACGCCUGCCUUCUCAUGGGCUGGUCGCUCUUUCCUCUCCCUUCCGUCAGAUUUUUCCCAGAAGUACUUGCCCUUAUGGUACCCAAAGGGGAGGAGGGUACCACCCACCCAGGUCAAUGGGCAGGUUUGUGUCGGGGUACACCCUACUCCAAGACACCCCAGCAUGCAGGCCAGAGAUGCCCGGGCUGCCCUGCAUCAGCGCAUUAGCUCAAAACCGCAGCACCAGGCUCGGCCUCCCUCCCGGCAUCUCCCCCAGGCCAGGAACGUGGACAAGUCAGGGAGACACAAAAGGAAAACGCAUUUGGUGCAGUCCCCCUGCUGCGAGGCAGGCUCCGCCCCAGGCCCCCAUGUGUCACUUGCAAUGAUGUCCACAGAGCACUCGGCGGGUUGCUGUCCCUCCCCCACCCCGGGCUGGGCCUCUGCCGCCAGGUCUGGCUCCGUCGUCUGACCUGGAAUAAAGUCGCCUGGCUCUGAAGCCAAAGAGCGCUGAGAUGAGAGACUGGAACCCAGGGGUGCCCAGAAAGAGAAAACGCCCACCAGCAAGAACCAGGAGGCAGGACGUCUGUCUGCAGACCUACUGUGUACUACAUUUGUUGAUGACCUACUAUGUGCCAGGCCCCAAGAAGGCCUAAGGAUGACACAGAAAGGGAUGGACAGGAAGGCUGCAUCCACAAGGGGCUGACACGCUGGAUGCCUGGCUGGGGCCUUCAGGCUGACCCCCCCGCCCCAUUCACCCCACAACGCAGGAGCAGGCACCUCUCUUCCCUGCUGGGGGCGAAAUGGAGCCAGAGCAGUGAAGGGGCUCGCUGAGGACAAC